rnacentral:rRNA from 1 species
GAUGAACGCUAGCGGCAGGCCUAACACAUGCAAGUCGAGGGGUAGCAGGAUUAAGCUUGCUUAAUUGCUGACGACCGGCGCACGGGUGCGUAACGCGUAUGCAACCUACCUUAUACUGGGGUAUAGCCCGGAGAAAUUCGGAUUAAUCCCCCAUAGUACUAAUGAAUCGCAUGGUUUAUUAGUUAAAGCAUUGCGGUAUAAGAUGGGCAUGCGUCCUAUUAGCUAGAUGGUGAGGUAACGGCUCACCAUGGCUACGAUAGGUAGGGGCCCUGAGAGGGUGGUCCCCCACACUGGUACUGGGACACGGAACAGACUCCUACGGGAGGCAGCAGUGAGGAAUAUUGGUCAAUGGGCGCAAGCCUGAACCAGCCAUGCCGCGUGCAGGAAGAAUGCCCUAUGGGUUGUAAACUGCUUUUAUUUGGGAAUAAACCUCUUUACGUGUAGAGAGCUGAAGGUACCAAAUGAAUAAGCACCGGCUAACUCCGUGCCAGCCGCCGCAGUAA